rnacentral:rRNA from 1 species
AGUGAACGCUGGCGGUAGGCCUAACACAUGCAAGUCGAACGGCAGCACAGUAAGAGCUUGCUCUUACGGGUGGCGAGUGGCGGACGGGUGAGGAAUACAUCGGAAUCUACUUUUUCGUGGGGGAUAACGUAGGGAAACUUACGCUAAUACCGCAUACGACCUACGGGGGAAAGCAGGGGAUCUUCGGACCUUGCGCGAUUGAAUGAGCCGAUGUCGGAUUAGCUAGUUGGCGGGGUAAAGGCCAACCAAGGCGACGAUCCGUAGCUGGUCUGAGGGGAUGAUCGGCCACACUGGAACUGAGACACGGUCCAGACUCCUACGGGAGGCAGCAGUGGGGAAUAUUGGACAAUGGGCGCAAGCCUGAUCCAGCCAUACCGCGUGGGUGAAGAAGGCCUUCGGGUUGUAAAGCCCUUUUGUUGGGAAAGAAAAGCAGCAGGUUAAUACCCCGCUGUUCUGACGGUACCCAAAGAAUAAGCACCGGCUAACUUCGUG